CAUCACUGUAGGAGGCAGCCUACCUCCUGGACCUCUCUCUGGGCAGUUGUGCACCUGUAAUCCUGGAUCUCACUCAGAUCAUGGGGUGACAACAGGGAGUGGACAUCUGGAGAGAAAUCUGAGCCUGGUGUUUUGGGUUUGUGGGUGGGAGAUACUCUCAGGACACCCUCCCCCUCCAUGGAUUCAGACUUGGGUGGGCCCAGCAGAAUGGCAUGUGUGGUUCCCAGCUCCUUCAUCCCCAGUGGGAGGGAGCCUAUCAUCCCCUAUGCAUUUCAGAUAUAUGAACCAGGGUCUCAAGUUUACAACCUUGUUCCCUGUUAAAGAGAGAUUGCACUGGAAACUUGUUAAGAAUGUCAAGGAAAAGUUUAUUAGGCACAAUUGCAGUGAGUCAUGAGAGCUGUAAUAGGGGAGGGAGAUUGAACUCAACCUUGAAUGCAGCAGGAAUAUUAUUGGAUUUAUAGCCAAUGGACAGGGUGAGGGAGAGAAUGGAACUUGGUUGGGUCUCAUAGGUGGGGGAAAAAGAACUUGAUUGGAUAUUAAGGUAGGAGGAGUCUCUAUAAACUACCUUAGAUGGAUUCUUGCUGAAACUGACUUCUGCAGGCCAAUGCCAAGGCCUAGUUAAGAAGAGGGCUCUGAGGAGCUUGACUCAAGUUUGGUGAAGGAAGGAAUACUUGAGACCUCUUCAGUCUAGUUUUUCUUUUUUUUGAGAUGGAGUCUUGCUCUGUCGCGAGGCUGGAGUGCAGUGGUGUGAUCACGGCUCACUGCAACCUCUGCCUCCCAGGUUCAAGCAAUUCUCUGCCUCAGCCUCCCAAGUAGCUAGGGUUACAGGUGCCCACCACCAUGGCUGGCUAAUUUUUUUUGUAUUUUUAGUAGAGACAAGGUUUCACCAUCUUGGCCAGGGUGGUCUUGAACUCCUGACCUCGUGAGCCACCGUGCCCAGCCUCUUCAGCCUAGUUUUUCCCAGGGCUCUGUAUUAGUCUGUUUUCAUGCUGCUAAUAAAGACAUACGCAAGACUGGGUAAUUUAUAAAGGAAAGAAAUUUCACUGACAGGUCAGUAUGGCUGGGGAGGCCUCAGGAAACUUACAAUUAUGGUGGAAGGGGAAGCAAACAUGUCCUUCUUCACAUGGCAGCAGCAAGGAGAAGUGCAGAGUAAAGGUGGGGGAAGCCCAUUAUAAAACCAGAUCUCAUGAGAACUCACUAUUAUGAGAACAACAUGGAGGUAACCACCCCAAUGAUUAAAUUAUCUCCUGCUUGCUCCCUCCCAUGACACGCAGGGAUUAUGGGAACUACAAGAGGAGAUUUGGGUGGAGACACAGCCAAACCAUAUCAUUCCACCCCCAGCCCCUCCCAAAUCUCGUAUCCUCACAUUUUAAAACAAUCAUGCCCUCCCAACAGUCCCCCAAAGUAUUAAAUCAUUCCAGCAUUAACUCAAAAGUACAAGUCCAAACUCAUCUGAGACAAGGUAAGUCCCUUCUGCCUAUGAGCCUGUAAAAUCAAAAACAAGAUAGCUACUUCCUAGAUACAGUCAGGGUACAGGCAUUGGGUAAAUAUGCCCUUUCCAAAUGGGAGAAAUUGGCCAAAACAAAGGGGCUAGAGGCCCUAUGCAAGUCCCAAAUCCAGUAGGGCAGUAAUUAAAUCUUAAAGCUUUGACAUAGUCUCCUUGGCUGGGCAUGGUGGCUCACGCCUGUAAUCCCAGCACUUUGGGAGGCCGAGGCGAGCGGAUCACAAGGUCAGGAGAUCAAGAUCAUCCUGGCUAACAUGGUGAAACCCUGUUUCUAUUAAAAAUAUAAAAAAUUAGCCAGGCAUGGUGGCAUGUGCCUGUAAUCCCAGCUAAUUGGGAGGCUGAGGCAGGAGAAUUGCUUGAUCCCAGAAGGCAGAGGUUGCAGUGAGCCGAGAUUGUGCCACUGCACUCCAGUCUGGGUGAUAGAGCCACACUCUGUCUCAAAAAAAAAAAAAAAAAAAAAAAAAAUCUCCUUUGACUCUGUGUCUCACAUCCAGGUCAUGUUGAUGCAAAAGAUGGGCUCCCUCAACCUUGGGCACCUCUGCCCCUGUGGCUUUGCAAGGUACAGCCCCCCCUCCUGGCUGCUUUCACAGCUGACACUGAGUGUCUGUGGCUUUUCCAGGUGCACGGUGCAAGCUGUCAGUGGAUUGACCAUUCUGGGGUCUGGAGGACGGAUGGUGGCCCUCUCCUCACAGCUCUACUAGGCAGUGCCACAGUGGGGACUCUGUGGGGGGGGGGUCCAAUUCCCACAUUUCUCUUCUGCACUGCCCUAGCAGAGGUUCUCCAUGAGGGCUCCGCCCCUGCAGCGCACCUCUGCCUGGACAUCCAGGCGUUUCUAUACAUCCUCUGAAAUCUCAGCAGAGGUUCCCAGACCUCAAUUCUUGUCUUCUGUGCACCCACAGGACCAACACCACAUGGAAGCUGUGGAGGCUUGGGGCUUGCACCCUCCAAAGCCAUGACCCGAAUUGUACCUUGCUUCCUUUUAGCAAUGGCUGGAGUGGCUGGGCACAGGGCACCAAGUCCCUAGGCUGCAUACAGCAAGGGGCCCUGGACCAGGCGCAGGAAACCAACCAUUUUUUCCUUUUAGGAUUCUGGGCCUCUGAUGGGAGGGGCUGCCAUGAAUUUCUCUGAUGUGUCCUGGAGACAUUUUCUCCAUUGUCUUGAGUUUCACUCUUGUUGCCCAGGCUGGAGUGCAAUGGCGCGAUCUUGGCUCACUACAACCUCUGCCUCCCGGGAUCAAGUGAUUCUCCUGCCUCAGCCUCCCAAGUAGCUGGGAUUACAGGCAUGUGUCACCACGGCCAGCUAAUUCUGCAUAUUUGGUAGAGAAGGGGUUUCUCCAUGAAACACCCUGAGCCAUGUUGCUCAGGCUGCUCUCAAACUCCUGACCUUAGGUGAUCCGCCCGCCUCAGCCUCCCAAAGUGCUGGAUUACAGGCAUGAGCCACCACGCCCAGCUGGGUUUUUCUUUUCUGUUCCACUGUCAGGCUGCAAUUUUUCCAAACUUUAAUGUUCUGUCACCUCUUGAAUGCUUUGCCGCUUAGCAGUUUCUUCCACCAGAUACCAUAAGUCAUCUCUCACAAGUUCAAAGUUUCACAGAUCUCUAGGGCAGGGGAAAAAUUCCGCCAGUCUCUUUGCUAAAACAUAACAAGAGUCACCUUUGCUUCCAGUUGCCAACAAGUUUCUUGUCUCCAUCUGAGACCACCUCAGCCUGGACUUUAUUGUCCAUAUCACUACCAGCAUUUUGGUCAGAGCUGUUCAAGAAGUCUCUAGGAAGUUCCAGACUUUCCCACAUCUUCCUGUCUUUUGAGCCCUCCAAGUCUCUAGGACGUUCCAAACUUUCCCACAUUUUCCUGUCUUCUUCUGAGCCCUCCAGACUUUUCCAACCCUUGCCUGUUCCCCAGUUCCAAAGUUGCUUCCACAUUUUCAGGUAUCUUUAUGGCAGAGCACCCCACUACCCAGUACCAAUUUACUAUAUUAGUCCAUUCUCAUACUGCCAAUAAAUACAUACCUGAGACUGGAUAAUUUAUAAAGGAAAGAGGUUUAAUUGACAUACAGUUUAGCAUGGCUGGGAAGGCCUCAGGAAACUUAAUUAUGACGGAAUGGAAAGCAGACCUGUUCUUCACAUGGUGGCAGCAAGGAGAAGUGCAGAACGAAGAGGGGGAAAAGCCACUUAUGAAACCAUCAGAUCUCGUGAGAACUCACUAUCAUGAGAACAGCACGGAGGUAACUGCCCCCAUGAUUAAAUUACCUCCCACCGGGUCCCUCCCACAACAUGUGGGGAUUAUGGGAACUACAAUUUAAGAUGAUAUUUGGGUGGGGCACAGCCAAACCAUACCAGGCUCAAAAUAAGUUCCUAAGUUUCUGGUUUCCCUUGCCACAAUCCCAGAUGUCAACUUCUCCUCUCCAAUUGACAUUAUCUUCAAUUAUGUUUCCCCAUGCUAGAUUUGAUGCAGCUAUAAUAUUUUAGUUGUUUAUAAUUUUCCAUAGAAUAAUAAAUAACAAUUUUAAAGAUU